GCACCGCGGCCAUUUUUUUUUUUUUUUUUUUUUUUUUUGGAUAGGACAGAUAGAACUUGAGAAGGGAGGUGAGAGGGGAGAGAAAGAGACACUUGCAGACCUGAGUCACCAUUCAUGAAUCGUGUACCCACCCCCCCGCAGGCAGGGGGCAGAGGGUCCAACCCGAGUCCUUGCACUUGGUAAUAAUGUGCAACUGUGUGCGCCACGGCCCGGCCCCCAAGAUAUUAUUUUGACUACUGACUUUCCGGCUCUCCCUCUUAAGUAUUGCAGCGGAGGCGUAUACUAAGAGGGACCACAACUGCCCAUCAGAUGGCAGGACCUCCGGGAUGGCAGGUCAACGGUCAUGGUGUCACCAGCGCGAGGUCUCUGUCCCCUCCGUGUUGCGGAGGUGGCCCCGAGGCUAUGCAGACGCUCAUUCUUGCUGACACACCCGGGGCGCACGAGCUUUCCAAGGAACAUGCCGACACCCCACCCCCCACCCCCGCAAUCGGGCGCCUCCCUUAACUCAGUAAACAGGGUUCCCCCGUCGGGCCCUCCCGCCCGAACUCCUCUGGAUCCAGGCAAACGCUGUGACUGAAGGCUUUUUGGAAGCUCCUCUCAGCUGGGGGCAGAUUUUCAGAAUCAAAUUUUGGAAACAAAUACUGCUCCAAAUGGAAAAUGAAAGUAAGCUCAACUUUUGUUGUUGUUCCACUCAAGUGAUGAAAUAUUUCCUUACUCAUUUAUUCAACAAACGAGAUACAUUUGGGUAACAAAAAUGUCUAAAUUACCUUUCUCAGGAUCCAGAAAGUGAACAUAACAUCCAGACUGCAUAGUGGCAUUGUAGUACACACUCAGAAAAGAGUUUUGGAUUUGUAAGAUGAUUUAUAUUUUAAAAGUAUCACCAAGAAGCAAUCAAAUCACAUUUGUGUGUUUUCUAAAUCUUCUUUAGCUUGUUGUCAUCAGAUUCACUGCUCUGGACUGACUGGACUUUUUCAGAUGGGGGGAGGAAGAGGGAAAGACAGCACAACACUGAAAUCUCCAAUGGGGUGUUGGUCAGACUCACACCUGGGUCAAGUGCAUAA